ACUACAGAUCAGGACAAGUCUAUCGCUGGACAGAGGGAGAGAGCAGCCCGCGCACAUCUGAGCCGCGUGACGUCAUCACACAGCGCCAACCCAACUCACAGCAGCAGCUGCCGUACAGGCAAUACCAGAGAGGGAGAGGACAACAUCGCAGACCGAAACGCUGGGGGAGCAGACCGCUGAAUUACAGCAGCGAGGAGCUGUCAGGAGGCGAAUCUAGCACAGAGGCUUUUUUAGGAGAAGGCCCCCAGGACCACCGAGGCACCAGAGAAGAGGGGGCAAAAGGCACCAACGUUCUAAGAAACAGCCAAGCACAGAGACAGCAACCUGGACGGACAGCACGCCAACAACCAAAACGUUAUCAACAUUUAUGAAGAAUGGGUACAUGAUCCCGGACUGCAUCGAGGUGAUUCCAAUUGGAACUAUCCUCUCCGGGCAAAAGG